GAUGAACGCUAGCUACAGGCUUAACACAUGCAAGUCGAGGGGUAACGAGAGGAAAGCUUGCUUUCCUUGUCGACGACCGGCGCACGGGUGAGUAACGCGUAUCCAACCUGCCCCCAACUAGGGAAUAACCUUGCGAAAGUAAGACUAAUACCCUAUAAUUUCCUCAGAUGUCAUCUGACGAGGAAUAAAGAUUUAUCGGUUGUGGAUGGGGAUGCGUCUGAUUAGCUUGUUGGAGGGGUAACGGCCCACCAAGGCAACGAUCAGUAGGGGUUCUGAGAGGAAGGUCCCCCACAUUGGAACUGAGACACGGUCCAAACUCCUACGGGAGGCAGCAGUGAGGAAUAUUGGUCAAUGGGCGGAAGCCUGAACCAGCCAAGUAGCGUGCAGAAUGACGGCCCUAUGGGUUGUAAACUGCUUUUAUACAGGAAUAAAGUUAGCCACGUGUGGUUAUUUGUAGGUACUGUAUGAAUAAGGACCGGCUAAUUCCGUGCCAGCAGCCGCAGUAA
rnacentral:rRNA from 1 species